UUGGAUGCAGAGUUCACAACGCGAUGUCUACCUUGGAGCCUACCUGAAUGGCGGACACUGGCAGAUGGUCGUCAUUCUGCCUGAGGAAAACCUUGUUGUCUGGUUUUGUUCCUUGCAUAACAGGCUAGACAACUACCUUAAGGGAAUAAUUAACAGUAUUUCAACGAUGUUAGACCAUUGGAACCAGAGAGAUUGAAGGCGCUUCGCAUCCAGUGGACACAAUUUCAUCUCAAAGUUAGAAAUCAAAGUUAGGAUGUUAGGGAACUUAGGAUGUUAGGGAACUAUUUCAUUUUAGGUUACUAGCUUAAUUAGUUUACUACCUUGUUUUACAUUUUUUCCAAUUGCUAUGUCAUUUGAACAUUGAAUAUUCUUUAUUGAUUAAUAAAUCAUUUAUUCAUAGUUAUCAAUUGAUA